AGUCACUUGAGCAGUGUGGGAGAUUUAACUGAGAUUCGUGGAUAACAGCCACACACCUCCUCUGGCACAUGACUGGACUGCACUGACAGCGAGUGUAGGGCAGCGGUAGCGUGUAUUUUUCUAAGCCUGUUGAUUCAGAGCGUGUGUGAGUUUAUUACCAUCAACAGAACUUAUGGACUAUGGGAAAAGCAAGCCAGAAGGACAUACAUGAGCUCCACGGGAGGAAAAUUUAGCACGACCACCUUCUGUCAAAGGAUUCCCCUCAGGAAAAGCCAGCUGGGAUCUGAGGAUACGGACAGUCUUGUAUGGAAUCUCCGGUAUCCCACCAGUGGGCAGGUCGAACCCAACAAACGGGCUGGGUUGGGCCUGAAGGGCCACAUCACCCAGAACUGAUGGGUUGGUUUUGUCUCUCAGACAGAAGAAGGAAACUCCAGAUCAAAACCCACCCACUGUACUUGGAACCAAGGAAGCUCCUCAUACCUGGAGAGAAGGUGCCUGGUGGCAUCUUCUACCCAGUGCAGAUUUACACUAAAGACAGUAUAACAUCUUUCCUCUGUGGAUUCUAUCUUUGUGCUGCAAAUGUAUGCUAGGAAGGUUUACUUUUUCAAGUUUUCUACCAAUCCCUCCAUUUUCAUCAAUAAUAUCUGUGACGUAACUCAUUUUCACAUGAUCAUCCCUCAAGAGAUUUAGGUUAUAUAAUUGGCACCUAUGCUGUUUUGGCUGUUGUGAAUGCAGCAGAGAUCAACAAAAUGGGAUGUUUCUCUGUCAUCCUUGAAGAGGCUGCUAGUGCUAAUCAGGAAUUGGAAAUUAAACACUGAGAUGGAUUUAGAGACAUACAGUGUGCGACAAUUCAGUAAGUGCUGAAGAACACUGUUCUGAAUCCUUAAAGGUUAGUGAUGGAAGUUGCAGUGACUAAAACGUGUUGAGCUCUGAAAAAAAACCCAAACAUUAGGUAUAGGAAAUAGAAUGACUGCAGUAAUGAAAUCUUGGAAAAGUAAUGGAAAAGGACAACUCAAUGUUACUUACUACAGUAAUGGUAGAACUCUGGUUUUGGUGUUUGCAGUUACAGCAAUGGUAUCUUUCUAAUAUGCCUAGUGUUGAAUACGUGGUCACGUAACUGCACUGUUCCCCAUCAGCCUGAUACAGACUUCGAAGGCAAUCAACAACACUAUCAAUGAAUGUUCUAUGAAUACUGAUAAAAAGACAAGAGUUCAGAUUUUCCUCCUCACAGUCACCAUAAAUGGUUAAAUGUAAAACUACUGCGAGGAAAGAUCGGGAAAUUAUAGAAGUGGAACAGAUUCAGAAGCUUAUGAAAUCAGUGCAUAAUUGUAAUGGAAUACAGCCAAUUGAAUAAACAACACAUAAACACAAAAAAACAAUGCAGGUUACUGUGAAUAUGCUUACAUAUUUGCUAAGAUGACCUUGGUCUGUGUGCCACGGGCUGGGCACCAGAUGGACAGCAGCCUGAGGGAAUUGUUUUUUCUGCCCAAGUUCCAAUAUUCAAGUUCAUUUCUACGCUUACACUCUCUUGUUCUGCUUCUUAUGAAUUUAUACUCACAUCAUUUUUCCUUUACUUCUCAUGGCCACCUUCGUCUUUGAUCAUCCGUGUGCUUAUUGGUUUGCUCUACUUCUCUCUAUCUGAGCAAUAAUCUGUGUUUCUGUGGAUUUAUUAUUCUUACAAAAAUCAGCUUUAGUUCUGCAACUUUUGUGUUUCAGUUCUGUUGGAAAUCUUAACUAUCUACAUUUAUUUCUUAUGGAUUAUCAGUCACAGAACACUAUUCUAAUUUUGGGCUUAUCAAAAAUAGCAGUAUGUCUGAAAUGAAAAUGUUC
rnacentral:lncRNA from 7 species